AUUGAACGCUGGCGGCAUGCCUUACACAUGCAAGUCGAACGGCAGCACGGGAGCAAUCCUGGUGGCGAGUGGCGAACGGGUGAGUAAUAUAUCGGAACGUGCCCGGUCGUGGGGAUAACGUAGCGAAAGCUACGCUAAUACCGCAUACGAUCUACGGAUGAAAGCGGGGGGAUCGCAAGACCUCGCGCGAUUGGAGCGGCCGAUAUCAGAUUAGGUAGUUAGUGAGGUAAAGGCUCACCAAGCCGACGAUCUGUAGCUGGUCUGAGAGGACGACCAGCCACACUGGGACUGAGACACGGCCAGACUCCUACGGGAGGCAGCAGUGGGGAAUUUUGGACAAUGGGGCGCAAGCCUGAUCCAGCAAUGCCGCGUGCAGGAUGAA
rnacentral:rRNA from 1 species